ACACUGAUGGUCAAGUGGAAUCACUAUUGAGAGCGCAUAGGACUAUGCGUCUUAAGAAUCGAGGGUUCGAAUCCCUCUUGGUGUC